CCGGCACGGUGGACUGAGAGCCCGCGGCGGCGGAGGAGCGUUUGCCGGGCUGCCGCCAGCGUGUCCCCCAGCGCCGGGCCGGGCUCGGCACCGGGCCCCCUCCCCGUCGCCCCGGCUCGGGUGGGGGCUUUUCCCGCUUCCCUUCUUUCUUUCCGUCCCUAUGGAGCAGCCGCCCCCGCCGGUCGACCAUGCCUAGGAAAGCGGGGAAUGGGCAGCUCCCCUUACCCGAUGGCUGGGAGGAGGCGAGGGAUUACGACGGCAAAGUCUUUUACAUCGACCACAACACCAAGCAGACCAGCUGGAUCGACCCCAGGGACAGGUUAACAAAACCCUUGUCGUUUGCGGAUUGUGUUGGGGAUGAGCUACCAUGGGGAUGGGAAGCUGCAUACGAUCCUCAGAUUGGUGUGUACUAUAUCGAUCACAUCAACCAAACGACGCAAAUAGAAGAUCCCAGGAAACAAUGGAGGCAAGAACAAGAGAGAAUGCUGAAAGAUUACCUUAUGGUAGCCCAGGAUGCUCUCAGUACUCAGAAGGAACUAUACCAGGUGAAAGAACAGAGGCUAGCACUUGCACUGGAUGAGUAUGUACGGUUGAAUGAUGCCUACAAAGAAAAAUCAAGCUCUCGUACAAGCUUAUUCUCGGGCUCUUCAUCAAGUACAAAGUAUGACCCUGACAUUCUGAAGGCUGAAAUCUCCACUACAAGAUUGAGGGUUAAGAAGCUGAAGAGGGAACUCUCUCAGAUGAAGCAGGAGCUGCUGUACAAGGAACAGGGCUUUGAAACACUGCAACAAAUUGACCAAAAAAUGUCUGGAGGCCAGAGCGGGUAUGAACUAUGUGAGGCCAAAGCCAUCCUGAGUGAACUGAAAUCCAUCAGAAAGGCAAUAAGUUCAGGGGAGAGAGAAAAACAAGAUUUAAUGAAGAGUCUUGCAAAGCUGAGAGAGAAAUUCAAUCUUGACCAGAACAUUGGGACAUCAGAACCAGACCUGAGUUCCAGCUCUGUAAAUUCCCAGCUGUGUUUUUCUAGACAAACUCUGGAUACAGGGUCUCAGACUGACAUUUCUGGUGAGGUUGGAGCAAGAAGUAGAUCCAAUUUAGCAGAGAAGGUCAGACUAAGUCUUCAAUAUGAAGAGGCAAAAAGAAGCAUGGCUAACUUGAAGAUUGAACUGUCUAAGUUGGAUAGCGAGGCCUGGCCUGGGGCACUGGAUGUAGAAAAGGAAAAACUGAUGUUAAUCAAUGAAAAAGAAGAGCUUUUAAAAGAACUCCAGUUUAUUACACCACGCAAACGUACUCAAGAUGAGCUAGAGCAGCUGGAAGCAGAAAGAAAGAGGCUUGAAGAAGAGCUGCACUCUGUAAAAAGUGCACCCAGUCAAGCGCUUGCUGAAAGAUUGAAAUUGGAGGAAAGAAGAAAAGAAUUGGUACAGAAACUUGAAGAAACUACAAAAUUGACGACUUAUUUGCAUUCACAACUUAGGAGCCUCUCAGCUAGUACGCUAUCUGUGUCGUCAGGGAGCAGUCUGGGAUCUCUGGCAUCCAGCCGGGGAUCCCUGAACACAUCAAGCAGAGGGUCGCUCAACUCGCUCAGCUCAAUGGAUCUCUAUUAUAACCAAGGCGAUCAAAUAACAGAUUUGGACUAUCAGUAUAAGCUUGACUUCAUAUUGCAAGAAAAAAGUGGUUACAUUCCUUCGGGGCCCAUCACUACUAUUCAUGAAAAUGAAGUGGUCAGCUCCCAUGGGAGACUGGGUUACAGUGACUCUCCUUCAGCCGCAGACCAGCCCAAACUGACUGAGCCUCCCAAAUCCGUGACAUCGCUGUCUUCCAGGUCCUCGCUGUCCUCCUUGUCUCCCCCAGGCUCCCCUUUGGUUUUAGAAGCUGCAUUUUCUGUUUCUGCUCAAAAUUCCCCUCUGCAUCACCUCACUACAGACUUUGAAGACUGUGAUUUUGCAGGCAUUAGUCUCUGUGAGAACCAAAUAUUAUUGGACUCUGAAGCCAGAGCGGGAUCUCAGAUUCCAACAGACGAUAAAGAUCUUAAUGAAAGCAUUAGGCAGCCUCUGUCUUCUCUACAUGAAAGAAGUUCAGGUGUUGACUUGUCAAGAAGAGCAGCUAGUCAUCUGCUUGCAGAGAAGACAGCUUGUGUAUCUGCUGCCGUGUCUGAUGAGUCUGUAGCUGGAGACAGUGGUGUAUAUGAAGCUUCUGUGAAACAACCAAAUGAAACUGAGGACAUUGUAUACAGUGAAGAUGAUGCAACAGCGCUAGAGGCUGCCCAAGUUCAAAUAGGACUCAGAUAUGACCGCAGCAAUUCAAGUUUUGUGAUAAUCAUAGUCCAGCUCAGAAAUCUUCCAGUGUUUUCUGUUCCCCUUGGCUCUAAAGUGUAUAUUAGAGUAGCAGUACUUCCAUCCUCAGCUGAUACCAGCUGUCUGUUUCGCACAAAAGUUCAUCCUGCCAUGGAAACCAUUUUACUCAACGAGAUAUUCAGAGUUGCCAUUUCCCAAGGAACGCUGCUACAGAAGACACUGAGAGUAGAUGUUUGUGCCGUCAGUAGAAGCUGUCGUGAAGAAUGCUUGGCUGGAACUCAGAUCAGUCUGGCAGAUUUAUCAUUUUCUGAUGAGACUUGUACUCUGUGGUAUAACCUUCUGUCUUGCAAGCAAAUCCCUGGCAAAAAAAACAAGGAUCAAAAUGAAGAACCAAUGUUUCUUUUAAGCAAGCAAUCAUCAGACUCAUUGGACUUGCAGGAUGCUGUGUCUGCUCUGCUGGAGAGAACAUCCGCUGAGCUGGAAGCAGUAGAACAAGAGCUGGCUGAAGAUGAUGAGGAGGAGGAUGAACACGAGCAAAGGGGCUCUGAGGAAGACUGGUUAGAAAUGCUUGCAGAAGCAUCUGAUGAAAUUGGGGAUGAAGAGGAAGAUGGCAUUAAGCUGGCAGUAGAAGGCAACUGUACCGAUGACAUGGGGUUAUUCAUUGAUGCUGUAGAAACUGAGGAAGACAAGAACAGACAGAACAGAGAUGAGGCCCGUGAAAGCCAGCAAGCUGCUGUCAUACUAACACUGGUUGAUAAAGAGACUAACACUGAGGAAUCAGUUAACGAGAAUGCAACAGUCCGACCCAAGGACAGAGCCAGCUGGAGCUCAAGACAGCGUCCCUUUGUCAGGAACAGCAUGAUUGUGCGCUCACAAACCUUCUCGCCAGGCGAGCGGAACCAAUACAUCUGUAGGUUGAGUCGAAGUGACAGCGACAGCUCAACACUAGCCAAAAAGUCUCUCUUUGUGAGAAAUGCCACAGAAAGGAGGAGCCUAAGAGUCAAACGGCCUGUUUGCCAACCAAUCAUGCGAAGAGCUACGCAAGAGUGCCCUGUACGCACUUCCCUCGACUUGGAGCUGGACCUCCAGGCAUCACGCACACGACAGAAUCGCCUGAAUGAUGAGCUUCAGGCCUUGCGGGAUCUUAAGCAGAAGCUUGAGGAAAUGAAAGGUAGAGGAGAGACAGACCUUCCCCUGUGCAUACUGGAGGAUGAACGAUUCCAGAAACUCUUGAAACAGGCUGAGAAACAGUUAUUUUACAGGCUGAACAGUCAAAAGAAGAGCAGAAGAGAGGUUUAAGUGCUGAGAAACUGAUGAGGAAAGCUUCGAAGGAUGUAUGCCGGCUACGGGAGCAGAGUCAGAAAGUGCCGCUACAGGUGCAGUCAUUCAGGGAGAAGAUAGCAUAUUUCACAAGAGCGAAGAUCAGUAUACCAGCCCUUCCAGCUGAUGAUGUAUAAUUAUGCAUUUUCAUUGAAGUGUUUUUUUCCAUUGCUCAUCUUUUUUUUUUUUAAUGAACUUUGUAGUUCUAGUGACCUGCUUUUACAGCUCUUCUAUUUUACAUUCAAUAUUGAUACGUUUAUUUGUAAAAUACAGUGAAUUGAAAUGUUGUAUGUCUAAAAAAAAAAAAAAGACAAAAAAAAAAGGAAAACCAAAGUAGAUCAAUUUUGGUAUACUGAUGCUGAUUUUGUACAGUUUGUAUGUAUUGCAUGUGUUUUUAUUUUGUAAAGAUGGAACAAAGGAACAAAGGCAGUACUAAGUGUGUAUCCUGUUGAACCGCACUGUAUUGAGAAAUAUUACGUUCAACAGAAGAUUGUUUAUCUUUUCACUAUUUUCAUGUGAGCAGACUGUGAAGAUGGCUGUUUUGCCACGCAAUAUUUUUGUAUAAGAGUGUGACUUUUGUAGUUUGAAGUUAACUACAAGUGUAAGCUUUUUUCCAAAACAUCAAGGCUGCCUCACAACAGCUGCUAAUUAGAUUCAUCACCCACAUUGGAGUUCUAUUUCUGAAAAUAAAUUUCUUCUGUUCUUUGUAAUAUUGUGUAGGGAGAGACAAAAUUCAGAGUUAAGUUUUGUGAAUGUACAGUACUUAAACCUGCACUAAAAGGUUUCUUGCAUCUGUGGGAGAGUGGGGAAAGACAAGGCAGACAAGCAACCCUAAAAACCUCCUCUGAGACUACCAAAAGGGCAGCUGCUUUCUGAACUGGAAGCUGAAUCAAAUUUGUAAUACCAACAGUGAAAUCAGAAUAGUUAUAUCUACUACUCUUAGAAAUGAGGUUCUCUAUAUUAGUCUUUUGUCCUCAAGGCUGCCUUAUUGCCAUCUAGGAGAAUAUAAACGUGUUCAUUAGGUUUACAACUAUGAAGCGGAUUUUAUGAACGUAUUUGUACCAGGAGAAAAGUUUGACCUACAGUAACUCAGAUAUCAGAAGUUUGUUGGUGAAGUAAACUCUCCCUGAAAAAGUAAAGAUCCUGACCAGAAGGCUUCAUCUAUUUCAGUGCAAUCACAUUUUUGAAAAUACACAGGUGACUGUGUGCAGAUGAGGGUGCACAGGAUUAAGAAAUAAAUGUGGACAGCACACAUCAGAUAAGUUUUACUAGAGCCAGCCUCCUAGGAAGAAGCAUCAACUGGAAUUAUUCUAAGUCCAGAAUGUUAGAUGUGUGUGUUUACACAGCCCUGUCUUGGUAAAGCAGUUGGGUUUCUUCUUCUGUGUGGACUCUGCAAGUAGGCAGACAGUGUAGAGAGCAACAUUAUUUCAUUUUCUUCAUCGUAUGUUGCACUCAGAUGCAUUUAAUUCAGUGUCUAAAGUUUUCUUCCCCAAGCAGCAACCCAUACAUGCAUGGUCAUAUCUCUCAAAGGGGUUAUAAUUGGUGAGAAAAUGGAAGUGAAUAUAACUAACAUUAUGGUAGCAGCUGUCUGAAAUUCACAGUGACAAUUCUGUGAUGAGAGGUCGGUGUAAGCCUUACCCAAGGGCUUUCUUAUGCACAAACACGUCAGUUCACUUAAAUGUAUAGCCAGACGUGCUAUUUUGGGCAAGACGACUGGUUAAACAUCAUUUAUGAAUGCCCCAUUUAUUUUUUCUUGGUUGAGUUUGAGAUAACAUGUUUGAAAGGUCAAUUAAAAAAAAAAAUCUGGAAUUAUUUAAUAUAGAGGUGAAAUGAAGGUUGACAGUUUCAACUUCUCAAUUUGAUUAUAUGUUUGUAGAAUGAUGUUUAGAGGUGUACUUUGUGAUUUUUCUUUUAUUUAUUUACAGUCUUAUUUAUGUUGUGUUUAAUAUAGUUCAGUUCUGGCCAUAAAAAUAUUUGACAUACAAUGCUAUUGUGAAAAGUAUUUGGAGCUGUCUGAAUUCUUGCCAGAUUAGCUGGUUUUCUUCACAUGUUGAAUAAUUUUCAAAAAAGUAUUAUAUAUUUGUAAGCAUAGAGUAAGGCCAAAAUUUAAGGAUUGCUAGCCUUAGCUCACAAAACUCAUUGCAAAAUGCACCUCAUUUUGCAAAUUGGUAAAGUUGAACAUAUUUAUAGGCAGCUUUUAACAAUUCUGCUUUUUUUAAAAUUAAAUUUAAAUUAUCCGACCUCAAAACACUCAAUAGAAUAAGCUAACACAAAUAAUCCUGUCGGUUUACAAUUACAGAUAUUACUCAAAGCAGAAUUUACUCUGCACAGCAGGGUAUAACAAAUGCAGUUAGCUCUGUUUCCAGGUACCACUAUCACUGCAGUUGCAGAUAUCAAAAAUCUAAAUAUUACUGGUACAAGAAUAUUUAACCAAAUGAACAAAGGUAGGAAAAAAAUUGUAAUAGAACACAAAUCAAAUACAGUUUUUUAAAAAAUAUUGCUAUGUUUAUACUGUAUUAAAUAUCAAAUGCUCAGGACUGAACUAAAUAUUUAAUCAGGUUAUAUUCUGAAUGUGGUUCUGUUCUAAUUUUGUCUGUAAAAGUAUGCAAAUACAUCACAUAGAUUAACUUGUCUCUGCACUUUCCAUGUGUUUCAGUGAUUGGAAAAUACAUUUUUUUUAACAAA